UACAGAGGGUGCAAGCGUUGUUCGGAAUUACUGGGCGUAAAGCGUGCGUAGUCGGUAUUGAGAGUCGCGGGUGAAAUCCCAGGGCUUAACCCUGGAACUGCCUGCGAGACCUCAGUACUAGAGUGUGAGAGGGGAUAGUGGAAUACCCAGUGUAGCGGUGAAAUGCGUAGAGAUUGGGUGGAACACCGGUGGCGAAGGCGGGAUCCUGGGCCAGUACUGACGCUGAGGAGCGAAAGCGUGGGGAGCAAACAGG
rnacentral:rRNA from 1 species